rnacentral:rRNA from 1 species
GCGGGGUAACGGCCCACCAAGCGACGAUCAGUAGGGGUUCUGAGAGGAAGGUCCCCCACAUUGGAACUGAGACACGGUCCAAACUCCUACGGGAGGCAGCAGUGAGGAAUAUUGGUCAAUGGGCGAGAGCCUGAACCAGCCAAGUAGCGUGCAGGAUGACGGCCCUAUGGGUUGUAAACUGCUUUUAUAAGGGAAUAAAGUGAGCCUCGUGAGGCUUUUUGCAUGUACCUUAUGAAUAAGGACCGGCUAAUUCCGUGCCAGCAGCCGCGGUAAUACGGAAGGUCCGGGCGUUAUCCGGAUUUAUUGGGUUUAAAGGGAGCGUAGGCCGGAGAUUAAGCGUGUUGUGAAAUGUAGAUGCUCAACAUCUGCACUGCAGCGCGAACUGGUUUCCUUGAGUACGCACAAAGUGGGCGGAAUUCGUGGUGUAGCGGUGAAAUGCUUAGAUAUCACGAAGAACUCCGAUUGCGAAGGCAGCUCACUGGAGCGCAACUGACGCUGAAGCUCGAAAGUGCGGGUAUCGAACAGGAUUAGAUACCCUGGUAGUCCGCACGGUAAACGAUGGAUGCCCGCUGUUGGUCUGAAUAGGUCAGCGGCCAAGCGAAAGCAUUAAGCAUCCCACCUGGGGAGUA